ensembl:lncRNA
UAUAUAUAUAUAUAUAUAUAUGAAAGACCUCCACCAGAAUACUUUCAACAAGGUUUAAAUCACAUAAACAGAAAUAGAAGUAUUGCAAAUUACGAUCAUGGUUAUAGCAAAGCAGACUGGAGAUGAAGUAUAUUUAAAAAAUAUUAAGCAACCAUGUGUCUAUCAGACAUUUUUCACAAGUGUUUCUAACAACAUGGAUGCUGACUCUUAUUCUCAGUCUGUCUAUUAGGACGGCCUCACAGCGCAGUCUUCUGUUUUUAAUGAUAAAAGAAUAUAAUUUACCACUAAAGUCAGCAGCAGGCCAAAAUAGUUACAGAUAACACCAGGAGGUAAAGAAGUUCCAAUGAUGCAAACCAAGGCUUUGUGUUAGUUUCUUAUGUGUGUGAAGUGUGUCUCACUAUGGAGAAACACAGAUGUUAUGGAUCAUCUCUUCUAAAUACAGUUUCUGAUUCAGAUCCAUGAACGCAGCUCCCAUAAUCUAACUUUGAUCUUAAUGCAGCUACAUAACACAUCUGACCCUACGAGGAUCAUUUUACACACUUUAAAAGGGUUCUCUUCAUGAAUAUAAAUAUUGUACAUUGCAUCGAUUAGCAUAUUAAUAUAUUACUUUGGUAAUGACAACAGUUUUUCAUUGCACUUUUAAUGUGUUGCUGUCCUCAACCUGCGUUCCCUCUUGGCAGGAACAGACAGCUAGCUUACACUUUCCUUUAUGAAUAAAGAUGAACUACCAGCCUUGAUUUUCAUAUGUGUAAUGUUUUCAUCCUCUGCAUUUAUUCAUGCCGGAUUGAUCAUUGUCAAACUGGAACAGACAAAACAAAGGGUACAUAAAUACCACGUAAAACAACGUGGCACCAGGAUAACAUGACACAGAGAGCUAGCAUAGUUUAGCUGCUAUUUUCCAGCGGAGAAUUCAGUGACAUAAAUUCAACAUACUUUCGAAAUUGUCUAAAUCUUUACAACAACACAAAACAUGCACUCACAGACGAAUAAUGUCCGAAGGCUCUUCCAGGAGGAAUUCAGCUGCGACCAACAACAGCGGGUUCUCUCCAUGAAGUGAACCGAGCCUCGUGUGGCCGCUCCACUAGGCGGCUGCAUUUACUCACGUGUAACUACUCAAGUCACUACAUGUAUGGUGGGCAUGUCACACCUUCUGUUUUCUAUAAUGACAUGAGGUGAUUCUUCCACUGUUUGUGUUUGUUUUUAUUGAUUUGGAGGGACAUCAUAUUCACUUUAGUGCUCUACACAUGAUGUGUUGGUCUUCAAUGGAGCAUGUCCAAGUCAUGUGCUUCAUUUGAAUGAAAGAAAAGAAAAAAAGAUAGUCUCAAGAAUAAACAAGGAAAUUGACAAUUUCUGUACAUUCUACUCCUUACAUUUUAAAAACAGCCUCGUUACUUCCGGCUUGUCGCAGCUCAAAAACAAACACAAGAAAACCCUAUCCAGAUCAAUGGCGCUAUGCGGACAGUGAAUGUGAUUGUGUUUAGAUGAGAAUAUAAACAUUUAGCAUCCAGACACCCAAUUGGUUUUCUCCGCGAUGUGCAGAUCGGAGCGACGCCGAGUGGGAAAAGUGGUGGAAAGUUGGUAUUUACCCUCACCUAGCGGGAUGGGGUGGGAGAAGAUUUGUCAUGUGUGACCCUUUUUUACAGCGUUCAGUCCCCAAACAACCAACAAUAAAAGUGAUAAGUAAAACAUAUAAAGUUGUUCUACCCACGCUUUUGUAGUAAGAGUAAUUUAAAAAUGCAUAACAACAAUGCAUCAUUAGAAAAAUCUGAAUUGGCUCUUCAGGUCCAUAUUUUUGCAUCACUAGAAAUAUUAUUGAUGUAUUUUCAACGAUGCCUCUUACCUGUCAGCAGGAAAGCAUCCUGAAGGAACUCCAGAGCUGUGAAUGGAGCUACCAGAGCUGCUGUCUCCAUUAUUGAUAACUUUCACUGGAGAUACAGUAUCAAUGGUGUCUGAAGUAUAUAGAGGGACAACACAUAACUAUUUGUUAAAGACGAUGGUUGAUGAAUACAACAAAACAGACGGGGUUGACCGGCAUUUGAAAUAUUACAAUGUUAAGUCCAUAUUGAGUCACUAUUAACUUUCCAGUUAGCCGGUGCUGCUAGCUUGUUUUGCUAUCUUUGUCUUAUUAGUCGUGUAUGAAUCCAUCAAAGUGCCUUUGUUCGGCCCCCCGAUGCUCGCACACAUUACAUUAAGCCUCAAACCAAAAAUAAACGUGCCAUAAAUCUGCAUUAAAUCCGAUGUAUUAGCAUCCACGAUCACAGUACCCAUGUGUGAUGUGCGGAUUGAUACUGAAACAUCGAUACUUCCGAUACCAGAUCUGUAUGCUCUAAAAUCAAUUUUUAAAUGAAAAUAUCGAUACUUUUGAUACUUCAUUAGUUUGUGGUAAUGUAUAUCAUUAACAGGAAUUUGGUGGAAAGUAACUAAACUAUUCAGGUCUUGUCUAAAUGACACGCCGCUGGUAGGGACUACUUUUUCACUGGGUAAGUGACUAAUACGUAAACGCAGCGGCACGGCGCUGCUGCUCGCUCUCUCAGAAAGAGAGAAUGGCGGAACGGAAGAGAAGUCAUGUGUGCAAACAGCCAGGAUGCAUUGUGUGGCAUCUGUGGGAAAACCGUGAGUUGUGGAAACACAACCAACCUAGUGAAACACUUACGAACAAACCACAACACUGAAUAUGAGACAUUUGCGCAGAGGCGGACAGAAGAGCGGCAGCAGAGUAUGUCAGGUGCUCGGGCAAGGCAGACGUCUCUGGUGGAGUCCGGUGCUGCAGGUCGACAUUACCCAGGUACAGAGAGAGAAAAUGCGGAUCUUUAAGCGCCGCUAAGCACUGUUGCUGUUUGAGUUGUAAUGAAUAUGGUUUUGAGAUAAGUAACAAAAAUCAAUACAUGCUUCAACAAAUAGCUGCCUGACUUCAGCUUGGAGUAAUACCCUAAUAUGUGUAUCACUGAGAUAAUCUCACAUAUAAAGCCUAGAUUUAUUCAGGGAAGGUUUCCUAAAAUAUUGAUCAUUUAAAGUGGAUUACAUAGACUAGGUGUCAUUAAAUAAUACAGGAUAACUGCGAUAAAACAGCCAGGGUGAAUUUAGAAAAAUAUAUAGCCUAUUGGAAAAGAUGGUUACAAAAAUAACCUUUUAUCUAUAUAUUUUUUAUUAUUUACAAAGAGUAAUUUGCUUUAACUGUUAAAUAAAUAUUUUAACAUGUUGGUAUUGACAAACUUGUGGCAUCGAUUUAAUUAAAUAUUUUACUGGCAAUUCUUGAGUCACCCAGAAUUAUAAAACAGCAGUGUUUGUAUCCCCUUAUUCUAGGCUAUUUGGAGAGACAUACAUGCAUACAUAUGCACACAUACAUAGUUGAAACAAAAUAAGAUUAAGAUUUCAGUACAGUGUAGCCCCCUUGUUAAUUUUGUGCUGUGAUUUUAAAUCGUUUAAAGAUGAUUCCCCAAGAGCAGCAAUACUCACAAGAUGCCUGGGAGAGAUGAUUGCAAAGGAUCUCCAGCCUCUGUUGUCCAAGGAUUUGUGAGAGCUCUUGACCCAAAAUAUAAACUCCCAGGAAGAAAGAAACUGACAGAGACCCAUCUUGUAGAAAUGUUUGAUGAAUGCAAAGGCAAAGUAAGGGCAUCUUUGCAAAAUGCUUCUAGUGUUGUACUUACCACUGAUAUGUGGACCUCGGUGUCCACAGAGGCAUAUUUGACCGUAACAUGUCAUCUCAUUGAAAACUGGGAAAUGAGGGAUUUUGUUUUGGAAACCCAAACUUUCAAUGGGCAGCAUACAGGUGACAAUAUCAGUUUAGCGCUUAAACGCAUCGCAGAAAAAUGGGGCAUAACUGACAAGGUUGCUGCAGUAGUGACAGACAAUGGUGCAAACAUGGUUGCUGCAGUACACAAGGCUGGAUGGAGGCACUAUCCAUGUUUUGCACAUACACUGAAUUUGAUCGUAAAGGACAGUUUAAAAACUGUCCCGGAAGUGGUGAAAGUGCUGGAAAAAUGCGCCCGUGUCCUUUUUUCACCACAGCACACAGGCCACCGAGAAGCUCGGGGCUGUUCAGCAACAGUUGAAAGUGGCAGAGCACAAGCUAAUCCAGUCAGUAGCUACUCGCUGGAAUUACGUUUUUUACAUGCUGGAGAGGCUCUUUGAGCAAAAGGAAGCUGCGACCACAGCCCUCUGCCUUUUAGGGAGGAACACAUUGUGCUUAGAUGAGGGAGAAUUAUCCCUCAUCAAGCAAACAGUUGAUGCACUACGGCCAUUUCAAGAAGUGACACGAGAGGUUUCAUCUGAAAAGUAUGUUUCAGUCUCCAAAGUGAUUCCGCUUGUGUCACUUAUUCACAGGGCUGUAGCAGCCUGUGAACGUCAAGGCAGCUCCCUUGCCACACAACUGGCACAGCAAUGUCAGCGCAGAUUCAUGGGUAUUCGAUGUUAGAUUUAAACAUGUUGGUUUUCGAGACAAAGACAAUGUGGAGGUAAUGAAAAAGCGUCUCCUUUCUGAAAUACAGGAAGUCUAUCAGACAGGACAGGCAGCUCCCAGUUUAGCCCCAAGCUCAACAGCUACUGUUAGCUCUACCUCAGGGCCUUCUUCCUCUGGGCCUUCUGCCUCAGAGCCAAACCAGAGUCCUGCCCCCUCAGGUUCAGCUGCAUUAAAAGGAGGCAUAUGGACUGAUUUUGACAUGCAGGUUUUGUCAGGACAACAUCGCCGGUCAGCUACCAGCAAUGUGCUCAUUGAAGUACGUCGGUACUCAGAAGAAAAAGUGAUUCCCAGAGACAGGGAUGCACUGGUUUGGUGGAAAGAACAUGACCAAACCUUCCCAGCCCUGAGCAAACUAGCAGUGAGAUACCUGGGAAUUACUGCCACUUCUGUACCAGCAGAGAGUCUUUUCAAAGGCAGGAGAGGUUUUUAGUGAUGGAAACACCUUUUUCAAACACUCCAGGACUCCUGGCUCUCAAAGGGGAUUUACAAGGACUGGCUGGUUAAGGAAAUCCACACAGUAAAUUUGCCAGUGUCAAAAAGGCAGUGUCAAACUAUUUUAAUUCUUCCGGAGUUCUUCCAACAAUGGACAGAGUAAAAUUGAACCAGAAAACUUCCAGUGUUGGUGAAAAUAAUCGGAGUUAACAGAGGUUUUACUCUGUCAGUGUUAUUGACUCUCUAAGGCCCUGAUUCAACACUGAUUAGAGCAAGAUACCUUCCAGAGUAUCAC